rnacentral:lncRNA from 1 species
GGCCACCAUCAUGUCCACUUGGCCAUGUCCCCAUGGCCACCACCGCGAUGUCCCCGUGGCCACCAUCAUGUCCCCGUGGCCAUGUCCCCAUGGCCACCACCGCGAUGUCCCCGUGGCCGCCGUGUCCCCACUCACCUUGGCGCCCUUCUCUCCCUGCCGUCCCUCGGGGCCAGGGGAUCCCGCUGGUCCCUGUGGGGGGAGGGGGGGGGACACAUGAAGGACGGGGACGUGGCACCGCCACGGUGUCACCCAAUGGAGGUUGGGGUCACCCAAUGUGGGGGUCACCCAAUGGAGGUCAGUGUCACCCAAUGGUGUCACCCAAUUUUGGGGUCACCCAGUGGUGGCACAGAGAUUGGGGUCACCCAACGUUGGGGUCACCCAAAGGAGGCACAGGGAUCGGUGUCACCCAAUGUUGGGGUCACCCAGUGGUGGCACAGGGACCAGUGUCACCCAGUGGAGGUCGGUGUCACCCAACGUUGGUGUCACUCAAUGGAGAUCGGUGUCACCCAACAUUGGGGUCACCCAAAGGAGGCACAGGGAUCGGUGUCACCCAACGUUGGGGUCACCCAAUGGAGCUCGGUGUCACCCAACAUUGGGGUCACCCAGCGGUGACACAGGGAUCGGUGUCACCCAGUGGAGGUCAUUGUCACCCAACAUUGGGGUCACCCCAUGGUGGCACAGGGAUCGGUGUCACCCAGUGGAGGUCAGUGUCACCCAAUGCUGGCACAGGGAUCGGUGUCACCCAACAUUGGGGUCAAUCAAUGGAGCUCGGUGUCACCCAACAUUGGGGUCACCCAAUGGUGGCACAGGGAUCGGUGUCACCCAAUGGAGGUCAUUGUCACCCAACACUGGGGUCACCCCAUGGUGGCACAGGGAUCGGUGUCACCCAAUGGAGAUCAGUGUCACCCAACGUUGGGGUCACCCAGUGGUGGCACAGGGAUCGGGGUCACCCAACGCUGGGGUCACCCAAUGGAGGCACAGGGAUCGGUGUCACCCAACAUUGGGGUCACCCAGUGGUGGCACAGGGACCAGUGUUACUCAACGCUGGGGUCACUCAAAGGUGUCACCCAAUGUUGGGGUCACCCAGCGGUGGCACAGGGAUCGGUGUCACCCAACACUGGGGUCACCCAAUGGAGGUCGGUGUCACCCAACACUGGGGUCACCCAAUGGUGGCACAGGGAUCGGUGUCACCCAGUGGAGGUCGGUGUCACCCAAUGGUGGCACAGGGAUCGGUGUCACCCAGUGGAGGUCGGUGUCACCCAAUGGUGGCACAGGGAUCGGUGUCACCCAACGCU